UUUUUUUCAUUCUACUUUCAUUCUUGUUGAGAAUGGCCCCAAAACCCCAAAUAGGUGUGAAUUGGAAACCACAAGAAGAUGAGGCAUUGUACAAAGGGUGGGUUUCUAUCUCUAAAGAUGGGGCUAUUGGCACCAAUCAAUCAAACGACUCAUUUUGGUUGCGUGUGUACCAAAAGUUUUGGAAAAUGAUCCGGGCAUGAGCGGAGCCGGGGUACGAUCAUCGCAAGCUAUUGCUUCUCGGUUCAAGAUCAUCAAAUGUUCUCUAUGGAAGACAUGUAUGACAAAGGCCAAUGCAAGGCAUGUGAGUGGCUCCAAUCUUGAAAAUGUGGUGAGUACCCAUUUUUUUUAAUGCUUAAAUUUAUAAUUCUAAUUUUUUUCAAUUAUUAACUUGAUUUUUAUUUUAUUUCAUGGGUAGGAUAUGAAUGCAAAAAUACUUUUCUUGAAUGAUAAUAAACCUCCAAAUGGGCCUGUCAAGUUGUAUCAUGCUUGGCAAAUCUUAAAAGAUUGCCCAAAAUGGAACGAUCUAGGGUAUCUCCCACACACACAUUCAAAGAUUCUUCUCACAGUGGCAAUACAGCCAAUCAAUUUGGAGGAAGAUGAGGAUGAUAUAGUUAUGCCUACUCCAAGGCCGUUAGAAAGAGAUAAACAGAAGGAUGAAAAAAAGAAAGGAAAGGUGUUGAAGGUUAUCUCAACCAAAGUGGAAAGUUCUUGUCUGAAUUGGUUCAACAAGGAAAUGAGGCAAAGGAGGAUAGGAG
rnacentral:lncRNA from 1 species